GACAUCUUAGCUUUUCAACAAGUGCUCAUAAGGACAUGUGGACUGGAGACCUGGCCUUUGAUCUCCACUAGGAGCUAGAUGACAGUUCCGACCUGUUUCUGUAGAAGAAAGGAUCAGUGUCCCGUGUGAACUGAGAGAGGGAGAAUGGAAGAGCUUCGGAUCAAAGCUGUUUGCAUUGGAAACCGCAAUGCACACCAUGACAGGAACAAGAGGACAACCCUUCUUCCUUGGCUUUUAAGCCCAUUUCCCUCACCAGAUGGACCUGCCACCAAUGCCAUUAUGACAUGUGACGUCACCAUCCAGGCACAUGAAUUCUGGAAUCAUUCUGUGAAGGAAGGAACCCUUAGAGCCAAAUCCUUUCUCUCCAGUGCUCAGAGCAUGGGAGUUUUCUGCUGUCUUUGGAACUUUGUCUGCAAACAGCUUGAAGGAAAUGUGGCCCAAGGGCUCUUUAUCGGCUGAGAAGUCAAAGAACAGGGUGGGGUUGACCUUGG
rnacentral:lncRNA from 1 species